GAUAUAUUGAAAAUAUUUCAACUUUUAUUCAUGAACUAUAUAUUUCGUAUAUUCGAAGCUUUAUAAUUCGAUAUAUAUAUAUUGAAAAUAUUUCAACUUUUAUUUAUGAACUAUAUAUUUCGUAUAUUCGAAGCUUUAUAAUUCGAUAUAUUGAAAACAUUUCAACUUUUAUUUAUGAACUAUAUAUUUCGUAUAUUCGAAGCUUUAUAAUUCGAUAUAUAUAUAUAUAUAUUGAAAAUAUUUCAACUUUUAUUCAUGAACUAUAUAUUUCGUAUAUUCGAAGCUUUAUAACUCGAUAUAUAUAUAUUGAAAACAUUUCAACUUUUAUUUACAUAAACUAUGCAAUUUCGAUUAUUUUAAUCACAAACUCGCGAACGAUCAUUGCACAUUUGUCGAACCUUUAUAAUUCAAUAUAUAUAUAUAUCGUUUAGUCGAAACUUUCCUUCCUCCUUUAAUUAUCAUUUUUUUAACCAUUGGAAGAUACGAUUGUUGGGAAUAUCGUUUCACUCCAACGUAUAUAUUUCGUUUUCACCGGUCGACAAAACGAGCGAAUUUCGGACGCAGAGGAGGAAGAACAAAACCUUGUCGUAGAAAUCGUAAUGGAGCGCAACAAUUGCAGGCGCGUACCUCGUAAAUCUCGUAUCAGCUUUAAUUUCGAGUUAUCACGAGGGCGGUCAUUGGAACCGGGCGCCGAUAACGCGGGACAGGAAGAGACUUUUCCAAAGAAUAACGGCAACUCGUAGCUAAACACGCAAUGUGAUAUAUAUAUCGAGUUAAAUAAAGAUUCGAUCAUCAUUUCUGAGUGACUUAAAAUAAUCGAAAUUGCAUAGUUGGUGAUAGUUGGAGUUAUAAAGGCUCGACAAAUGCGCAAAAAUCAUUACGAUUUACAUUCGUUAAUCUAAAUUUAAAUUGAGAAGAUUACGUCAAAUCGUACAUAUAUACCUUAUAUCCUUCCUCCGAAAUAUUUAACUCUACUUUAAAAUUUUCCAAGAGUAUAUUUCAAGCUGCAGAAAAGAAAAAAUAAGAAGAAGAAGAAAAGGAAAAGUUCUCGAAACGAGGAGGGUUUCCGCGAGAGGAUUGGGGGCGCAGCGAUAGAUCGGCUCGGUUUUCAACGUCAAUUAACAGAGGCCACGCGUGGACGCUCGUAAAUCAAUUAGACGAGAUGUGGAGAGUCAAGAUCCAACGCUAAUUAGAUUGAACAAGGCCUUAUUACAUUAAUUCCUAGAGUCGCCAGAAUCGAGAGACACUGAUCAGGCUUCCUGGCGGAUGAAUGGAUGGAAGAAUUUUUGAGGAAUCGAUCGAGGAGGGAAGAAAUUGGUGGGAGCUCCGAUUAUCCCUCUCGGGUCAUUAGCGUUGAUUCGUUGGCCUGGAAACGGGUUCUCGGUCAGGUGGCAAGUGGAAAACGCCCGUUUCCUUGUUGGAGCAAGUCGGAGGAAAUCCGCUCUACUUUCAGGUAACGGAUUAAAGGGACUAAUAAGGUAAGGGUUUCCUUGCGAUUCGAAAUCUGCCCGAUUAUUCGCCACACGGGUCGAAACAAUGAAGGGAUUAGGGAAGGAGGUCCUCUCUUGUUCCCUCGAAACUCGCUUCUCGUUAUUACUUUUCAUACCGAUCCUCCAAGCCUCGAGUGGAAAACUUUUGGAAAAGUUAAUUCGAAGGAGCUGUUUCGUCGAGUAUAACCGUCCAAGUAUCCCAUUCCUUUUUCCUUCUUUUUGCUUAAUUUUUAUUGGGCUGUCGUUAAGUUUGCUCUUUCUCGCCGAGUUUCUCGAGUUGUUGCUUCGAAAACUUCAGUUUUGGCACUGGAGUAUUGUUAAAAUAACGCCUUUCCUCGUACCAUUCUUACCUCUUCCUUCAUGAAAGAGUAAAAUAUUCGAAAACGGUAUAUUUGUCGUCUCGAAAUAUAUAACACGGUUUAGAACAAAGUUGAAAUGCGAAAUUAACGAACAACCCAAUAAAAGAAUUCCUCGAAUCGUAGGAUAUCUUCCAAUCUUUAGAAAUCCAAAACUCUUCGAAACGUUGGAGGAUUCGUUCGAAUCCUCCCUAUCAAAACUCUGGACGAAAAUUUUUAAUCCUGUUUCCAAACGCGGGAAGAAAAAUAAUUUGGUCCAGUUCCUUCCAGACCACAUUUGAACGGUAUUCACGGGCGAUCAUAGGGGUUGGCCGUGCGACGGCGAAGAAAGAGGGCAGAGAGAGGAGGAGGGGGAGGAGAGGUACGUGACGCAGACGUCACAUUAGAUUUGGAGAGCAAACGUGCGUGCUCACAAACGUAUCUCGCGAUAAUCUCCUCCCUCUGUGUCUCUCUUUUCAACCCUCUCUCCUCUUCACCCUUUGCUUUUCGCGGCGUCCAGAUACCGCUCCAGAUAAUCUCCAUCUACGCCAAACACCGCGACCGGCAAACCCUUCCACCGCCGGAUAAUAUAGAUAGCAUUCAACGAAUCUCCUCUCUCUAUCUCCUUCUAUCUCCCCAUCUCCCCAUCUCCCCAUCUCUCUCCCCGUGUCACGCCCAGUACCCGCGUCGUCCCUUUGAUUCCGUCCCCGUUUUUCGAGACCUGUUUCUUCUCCUCCCAGCCCGGCGUUGAUACGUCCUCGUCCUCGUGAUGCGCCGGAAACACACGCAGUUUUUUCCAAACGCGAAAACGUGCGCGGUUCCUUUUCCAAAUUUCAAAUACGAAGGUAGAAACGUUUGAACAUACGAGUGUAUCGAAAUUGUGUAUAUAUAUAUAUAUACAAGAUUUUUGAUCUUUUUUCCGAAAAGAGAAAGCUAGUUCGAGAAAAAAGAAUAGAGAGAGAGAGAGGGGGGGAGGAAUCUAAGGUACGAAUCUGUUCACGGACGGCGGCCUCCUUCUCUAUAUAAUUAUUAUUCUCGAUCCAGGAUACGCGUAUCUUUGCGAGGAAGGGCUCGCGCGCGGCCGAGUAUCCAGCUAUCUUUAUAGCUUACGUUGCAACCGCUUUGGGCAAUUUCGUGAUCGACGGGUGGGGCGGUGGAAGCUCGAUAACAGGAUGCUUCUCGCGGAUAUCUUCUUCUCUCUCUUUCUCUCUUCUUUAAUCCAGGUUACUCGGAGAAUCGAAAGGGGAGGGGAAGAGGAAGUUUGUAAGAAAAAUUUUUGGAUAAAUUAUUGUUUUACAUUAAUUCUUUUCGUAUACUCGUAUUAUAUUAUUCUUUUAGUUUUUUAUUUUGUUUCUAUUUAUUUUAUUUUAUUUCUCCAUCCACUCGUCUUUCAAAUUUAAAUCUUUUCAGUAAACUGUUUCGGUAGCUUCAAGGAUUUCUCGUGCUGGGAUGCAAAAAGUAAGCGUUGCUCGAGUUGGACUGGAUUCUCAAAGAGCGGCACGAAUAAUAAUUGUAAAGAUUUAUAAUCGUAGAGGAAAAGGAACUUGCCUGAUGCAUCCGUCACGUGAUUUUGGGUAAUUUUUCGAGCGAAUCUUUAAUAAUCGUUAGAAAAUGAAAGAGUUUCUGUCCAAAUUGCCAUGAGAGUGCUUUAAAGUUUUCCAUUCUGAAUAACAUUAUAUCUCUCCUCCUCGAAUACCACGCUUUGUGUACUUGAAACACGGUAUCUCACAGCAUAAUAUGCGUUUCGAGCGAAUCUUUAAUAAUCGUUAAAAUUUCUCUCCUAAUUCAAAUAUCGAAAAAACAAGAAAUGAAAGAGUUUCUGUCCAAAUUGCCAUGAGAAUGCAAUUUAAAGUUUUCCAUUUUAACAUUAUAUCUCUCCUCCUCGAAUACCACGCUUUGUGUACUCGAAACGCGGUAUCUCACAGCAUAAUAUGCGUCUGUAUGGAGUAUUCAAGGAUGAACGCGAUGAAGACGAAUCCGUUGUUGGAAUAAUAUCGGUUUUUUUCGCAGAUGUCGAUCAUCGAGCCGUGAUAUCUCGUGCAGGUGCAUCCGAUUCGAGUGCGACACCUGUGAUGAAGGCUCGACCGAGGCUCCCCCUUUGCUUAUCGAAUUAUUGCGCCGCCGCAGAAGGAUCGUUUUUUAUUUUGCAAGAACCGUGGGGCGACUCGACAACCCUUUUUGCGGACUUUGGCCUUUUCGCUCGAGCGUCUCUUUCUUUUUUUUUUUUUCUUUUUGGGUAUCGAGUUUUUGCACGGCCAGACGUUUUAAUUUCGAUCAAGGUUUUCAACGUUCUCGUUCCGAGGCUUCGUUGUUCGUUCAUUGCGUUAAUAUGAUGUCGAGUGGUUUUUCGUUGUCGAUCGAAUUUUUACAAACGUGUAAGAAGAAAAAUCACGAAUCACUCUUCGUUUCGACACGCUUCUCGCAAGAUUCUCUUGAGUUUUAGAGAUUAGAGCGAAUGAUGGAAUGCCAAGUUGGAAAUAAUUCAUCAUCGCGUAAUACACUCGAAUUCUAUCGGUAGAAUGAAUGUUUUAUUAGAACAGAAACAUUGCAGUGUUGAUCUGAAGGAAUUGAUAAGGAAAGAUCGUUAAGGAAAUGACACGACUCAAAAAUGGAAUACAGAAACGCAUAAGAAGACGAAAUUAAAAGGAUUUUACUAACCCGUAUAUUAUGAAUUUAAUGAUAAUUCGAUGAAUUUUAAUUUUGGGAAACGAUGCGAGUGAAAAAUCGCUCUUUAUUUCAGAAGAAACUCUACGAAAACGCGUAAAAAUGCAACAAAAUUAAAAGUUUAUCCAUAAAAUUAUAUUAAUCCAUUAGAAUUAUGGAUUUUUCAAUAAAUUUUAAUUUUGGGAAACGACACGACUCAAAAAUUUUUUAUCUCAGAAUAAACUCUACGAAAAGAAAAUUAAAAGUUUAGAUAAUUCAAUGAAUUUUAAUUUUGAGAAAUCACUUUACUUCAAUUCUACAAAAACGUAAGAAGAAAAAUCACGAGUCGAAAAUCACUCGUUAUUUCAGAAGAAACUCUACGAAAAGAAAAUUAAAGGUUUAUUAUUAAUUAAUAAAUUAUGAAUUUUAAUUUUGAGAAACGACACGACUCAAAAAUCAUUCUUUAUCUCAGAAGAAACUCUACCUCAACUCGAAUCUUCACAAAAACAAAUCACUUUACUUCAAUUCUACAAAAACGUAAGAAGAAAAAUCACGAGUCGAAAAUCACUCGUUAUUUCAGAAGAAACUCUACGAAAAGAAAAUUAAAGGUUUAUUAUUAAUUAAUAAAUUAUGAAUUUUAAUUUUGAGAAACGACACGACUCAAAAAUCAUUCUUUAUCUCAGAAGAAACUCUACCUCAACUCGAAUCUUCACAAAAACGUAAGAACAAAAUUAAGAGGAUUCCAUUAAUCCAUUGGAAUGCACCGAUAAUCCAACGAAUAUUAAUUUUAAGAAAAAUUAAAAGUUCGCUACUAAUCUACAAGAACGCAUCGACAAUUGAAUAAACUCUGGAGCCAUAGAUCGCGGGAAAAUUUACUUAUCUUGCAGAGAAAGAGAAAAAAUAAAAAUUGUACAUACAAUUGGAAAUUUAAAAUUGCAAGAUUUUCCACCAAGUGUUCAUCUCCAAGAAGAAAAGAAAAGAAAAAAAAAAAGGAAAAGAAGAAAGGUUCUGUCGCGAGUAACGACAGUUACGACGAGGAUCAUGCGACGAAAUCCUGCGCAGGAGCUUUGCAACUCGGCCCAUUGUCUCAGUGGCCAUUGUCGAGGAUGUGGGCGCCCCUCCCCCACUUUUGCCCCGGUUAAAAACUGAAGGAUCACGGGCGGGUGUGCGGCGGCCCCCCGCUGCUAGGGAUCGUCCUUAAUCCGUGGCCAACAAAAAGAGUUAGGGCGCCGAUAUAACGAGAGCCGCGAGCAAUGCGAGCGGACUGUUGUUGCACGUUCAACCCGCCACGGACAAUGCCUUAAUGCGCUAAGCUCUGUAAAUAUCGAUGCCUUCGACCAACACCCAAGGACGCUCGCUUUCCACGCAAAGCGGAAAUUCGCUCGAGAUUUUCCUUUUCUUUUCCUUUGCUCAUUGUUUCCUGAUUUCGAACCUGUCCAAUUAUAGACAAAGAGUAUCAAUCAGAUAAAGUUUUCUGUAUACAUGUAUCGGAAAGGGAGAAAGUAGAAUAUAAAUUUUAACGGAGGUGUGCAGAGCGUGAUAAUAUUAAACAUGACACGAAAA